CAAGAAGGCCUUUUUUGAAGAUGCUCUCCAAACGAGAGAAUUCGCCCUUCUCUGCGACUCUCAAUCCUAGCAAGAUAUUGAGGCAAGUAUAGAUCACGCAUGGCUGAAGUAAGCCUUGGUGUGCUUAUGGAUAUUAUGGAUGAGGAAUGGAUGAGAGACACUCUGCCUGUUGAUGAUCUUCCAUUGCCACCUGUACUGGUUGCUCGAACUAAAGAUACGGAAGACUCAAAACAUCAUUGAAUCAAGAUUAUGUUGAUUUUGGUUUCACCUACAUCAAACUUGAGAUCAAAAACCUCAAAAUUUCUACAUAUUAGAUCUUUAAUUAUUUGGUACGUUCUGGUUUGCUUUGUGAUUUACUGAAGAAAAAGUGUGGAUUGUGUGAUGGUUGAAAUAUUUAGUUAUUGGGUUUUUUGGUUCUGAGUCUCAAAUGGACUUGUCAAGUUGUAAGCAUUUGAGAUUCUUUGGCUGCCAUUUGAAUUCUAGACAUGUAAAUGUGUUGCUCUAGUUUUUAGAGUUGUUUUGCUCCCCACAUUCUUUGGCUUUGGUGAGGUUGUUUAGAACAACUUUUUGGUGAUCAACAACAGUUCAUUGUCCUCAAAUUCCAAGCUCCAAAUGUGGAAAGACAAGUUCCUCAAAUUUUAUAAGGAUAAGUUCUUUUUGUAUGGAAAAAUAAUUAUAAAAAAAACCUUAAAUGUGCAGUUUUUGAUGAA